CACUCUCAUGAGCCUCCCUCUUUGCUGCCCCAUCCCUGCCUUGCUGUCCUUCAUCUCUCUGUACCUCGAGCCUUUUUUUACAUUUCUUCAGUUGCUUUUCUCCUCCUGCUUUAUCCUUUCAUUUCUCCCCACUUUUACUGUCUCUUGCAAAUCCCUCACCCAUUCUCUACUUUGCCAUCUGUUAGGGGGUCUUUCUUUCUUUUGUCUCUUAGGUUUUCCAUUGUUCUGUCUCCUGAUCCCUUUGGCCCACACAAUCACAGGAGGGUUGGAAGUAACACGCCUGCAUCCCAGAAGAGAGCAUUUUCCAGGGACUGAAGGUGGGCAGGCGAGAACACCUCCUGUCACAGGACAGGCCCCAGGCACCUUCUCAACGCGAGGUCAGGAGAAGCAGUGACUGCCGAAGGGAGACCUGGGAAGCAUCAGGGCCUGGCACAAAAACGAGGGAGAUGGGGGGUGACGGUGCGUUAAGACAAAGGCGGUGUCUGCAGGAUCCCACGACCAGACAGAGGACGCGGCCUCUCCGGGACCGGGGCUGCGGCGCUGUGCUCAGGGGGGCCGACGAGGGUAGGAGGCGCCUAGGGCAGGAAUCCACCUCUCGGCAGAAUAACCAGGACAGGACCAGCCUCAGGGAGACUUUAAACCGAAAAGGAAGCGACCCCCGGAGAAUCCCAGGAGGACGUCCCAAUUGGCUCUGUGUGAAGGAAGACGGGCGAGAAUUUCCCGGUCUGUGGGGACCCCACGUCCCAGGUACAGAAGCGCCAGGGACCUGCGACGCGCAGACUUAAUACAAGACAGUGCGAAACUCACGCGACGCUAAGGGACCUGAACUCGACGCGAUCCGCUUCCGGGUUUGCGCGAGCCUGCGCGCGCAGGACGGAAGCCAGUUUUGGGCGGGACCCGCGUGGAGGUGGGCGGGACCCGCGUGGAGGUGGGCGCGGCCUGGGCGAGGUGGAGGCGGGGCGCUGGGCGGAGAGACCUUGCCCUUCAGAACCAGCAGAGGGAGGGGCGGGCCUGCACCUGAGCGUCUCUCAGCUUCGCUCCCAGAGUCUGUUUAUUGGGUUUUGGAGGCAAGAGCAGCCAGGAAGGCUGAGACUUGAGUUAAAAGCCCUGGAAUUGUCUGGAACGGGGAUGCAAACCAGAAUGUGAAAUGCAAAGCCCUGCCAGAGCAGCACAGAACGAUUUCAUGCUGACGCCCACAGAACAGAAUAGAGAUUCUCUCCCUUUCUACUCUCCAUUUACUCGGGAAGGACAGUCCAGCCUGUGCUCAACUGCAGAGACUUCCCGGACGCCCCCGGCUGGGAUUCGGGACUAAGUGCUCAGGCCAGGGAGGAGCGAGGUCACCAACUGCUGCUUGAACAGGGCAGACCUGAGAGCGUGAGGGCGGGAGACUGAGGUCCCAGCUACUCAGGAAGCGGAAGGAUAGCUGUCAUCAUAGAAAUCCUAAACAAGGCCGUGGUGGCUCAAGCCUGUAAUCCCAGCACUUUGGGAGGCCGAGGCGAGAGGAUCUCAGACUCACACUAUUACCCUCGUAAACUUUCUUGCUAGUAAAGGAUGUAGGGUUUCCCCCUCCAAAGCCCAACUCUCAGCUCCAACACCGACAUGCUUAGGAGUUCAGCUCUCCCACGGGGCCCAAGCCACGACCCCAGCACGGGCAGCACUGACUGAUACACAGCCUGCCCCCACUCACCUCUAAAAGUGAAAUCUUCAGAAUAUGGAUUCCCAGUUAUUCCCUCCUAGCCCACACCCUCUGUGAAGCAGCUAAAGGCCCUCUCGAUGAGCCCCGAAAUCCUUCACACGACAUAGUCCCUAGCUUCCACACAGUUAUAGCCACCCUUGUAACUGCUCCUGCUCUGCCUUUGCCUGACAUUUCUCAGCCUUUCAUUCUCUACACAGCCCAAAACCAUGGAAUAGCCCUUGGUGUUGAAAGAAAAGGAAGUCCCCUUUCCUCUCUCCCAUAGCUUACCUAUCUGAACAACUAGACUACACUGCCGAACCGUGGCCCACCUGCCUCAGAGCCGCAGCAGCAGCCACCAUCCGAGCCUUAGAAAGCACGAAACUACCAGUCCACUGAGACACCGCAGUCCACAGCCCACACAAUCCACAGGGUCUCCUCCCCUCCCGAGCACUGAGCACACUUUCUCCGUGGAUCCAACUACCCCACGCCCUCUUCCUUGAACACCCUGAGAGCCGCCUCUCCAAAGUGCUCCCCUCAGUCCUGUGUCCCUACUUCAGUGUUUUCCUCCCCUCCCACCCGCUCCUGUACUGACAUCCUACAGCACCAUUCCCUCCGAUCUCCCUCCUCAUGAUCCUGAGGACCAGUUAUUCAUAGACGGCUCCUCCUCCAAGUCAGCAAAUGCCAGGCAUGCAGUCGUCCCUUGACCAAGUAAUUGAAGCCAAACCCCCACCCCAGGGACCUCCUCCCCAAGGGGGAACUUACAGCUCUCACCAGGGCCCGAACCUCUGCAAAGGCAAGAGUCAACAUUUGUACCCAGUUUAAAUAUGCCUGUCACAUUCUCCAUUCUUAACGCCGCCACCUGGCAAGAGAGGAUUCCUUACCGUCAAAGGAACCCCCGUCACUAGUGGCCCCUUAUUUACCAACUUCUCCAAGCUGCACACCUCCCAGCUAAGGCAGGAGUUACGCAGUGUCGGGGACAUCAAACAGGGUCAGAUGACAAGAGGAAACAGAAAGGCUGGGGAGGCAGCCAAAACAGCCUCCAUUUCUUCUGCGCCUGCUCCUUUCCUCUUCAUUAUCCCCGCAAUCCACCCCCAAUGUUCCCCCACUGAAGAAUCUUCCCUGCUACAAGGGGCCUCCUUCCAAGGGAGCUGGGUAGUCAAAGUUUAUCAAAAACAAGACUCAGUCACAAACUCACUCCUGACGUCCAGCAACCCCGGCCCUCCCUUCUGUCCAUAGCCCUAGCCCAUAUCAGAGCCAGCCCAAAAGCACCCUCCUUCCUCGGCUCAUUUCACUUAAUGUAUGGACUCCCUUUCCUCCUGCAAAACAGGCCCCUUCUAAGUCAGCUAGGAGAGUACCUCCCAGCAUUUAUCCUCAUCUGCCAUCUCCUCCGUGAACAAGCAGACCAGGCCCUGCCAAAAUCCCACCAACCACACUCAACUACCAGGAGAGCAUGUCUUCCUAAAAACUCUUAACCCAGCAAGCCUUAAACCAAAGUGGGAAGGCCCUUUUCAAGUUAUUCUUAUAACCCCCACCACAGCCAGACUCUCAGGACCUGUCUCUUGACACCGUCUUUCCCGAUUAAAAAGAGCUCCCACUGGGCGCGGUGGCUCAAGCCUGUAAUCCCAGCACUUUGGGAGGCCGAGGCGGGUGAAUCACGAGGUCAACAGAUCGAGACCAUCCUGGUCAACAUGGUGAAACCCCGUCUCUACUAAAAAUACAAAAAAUUUGCUGGGCAAAGUGGCGCAUGCCUGUAAUCCCAGCUACUCGGGAGGCUGAGGCAGGAGAAUUGCCUGAACCCAGGAGGCGGAGGUUGCGGUGAGCCGAGAUUGCGCCAUUGCACUCCAGCCUGGGUAACAGAAGUGAAAAACUCCGUUAAAAAAAAAAAAAAAAAAAAAAAAGAAAUUUACUUCAAAAAUAUAAAGACUAUCCAUACAAUGACCAGAGUGAAAUAACCAACAAGCGAAAAUGAAAUGCUUUUCCUGUUGAAUCUCACAUGAUGCAAGAAUGCUCUCAUCCCUUCUAUUCAAGAAGUACUGGCUGUCCUCGCCAGAGCAAUUAAAUAGCAAAAAAUGAAACUCAUCCAAAUCAGAAAGAAGUAAAGUUAUAUUUGUCAGGUCCAGACGAGGUGACUCACACCGUAAUCUCAGCACUUGGGAGGCUGAGGCAGGUGGACCACAAGGUUAGGAAAUUGAAGACCAUCCUGCCAACAUGGUGAAAUCCUGUCUCUACUGAAAUACAAAAAAGAAAAACAAAACAACAAAAUCAGUUGUGUGUGGUGGUGCAAGCCUUCAGUCCCAGCUACUCAGGAGGCUGAAACAGGAGAACUGCUUGGACACAGGAGGCGGAGGAUGCAGUGAGCAGAAAUUGUGCCAUGGCACUCCAGGCUGGCAACAGAAUGACUCUGUCUAAAAAAAAAAAUGUAGCCGGGCACCGGGGCUCACGCCUAUAAUCCCAGCACUUUCGGAGGCUGAGGCGGGUGGAUCACGAGGUCAAGAGAUGGAGACCAUCCUGGUAAACAAGGUAAAACCUCAUCUCUACUAAAAAUGCAAAAAUUAGCUGGGCAUGGUGGUGUGCACCUGAAGUCCCAGCUACUCAGGAGGCUGAGGCAGGAAAAUUGCUUGAACCCAGGAGGCGGAGUUUGUAACGAGCCGAGAUUGUGCCAUUGCACUCCUGUCUGGGUAACAACAGUCAAACUCCGUGUCAAGAAAAAAAAAUGUGUGUGUUUGCACAUGACAUGACUUUCUAUGUAGAACAUCAUUCGCCCGGCACAGUGGCUUACACUUGUAAUCCCAGCAUUAUGGGAGGCUAAAAUGGGAGGAUCACCUGAAGUUAGAAGUUCAAAACCAACAUGGUCAACACGGUAAAACCCCAUCUCUACUAGAAAUAAAAAAAAAGUAGCAGGCGUGGUGGGGGGUACCUAUCAUUCCACUUGCUCAGGAGGUUGAGGUAGGAGAAACACUUAACUCAGGAGGCGGAGGCUGCAGUGAGCCAAGCUCACAUCAUUGCACUUCAGCUCGAGCAGCAAGACUGACACUGGACACUGCCUCUCAAAAAAAAAAAAAGAAAAGAAAAGAAAAGAAAA